rnacentral:rRNA from 1 species
GGGGUAAACCUGCGAAACUCGAAUGAACGAACGGAGGGAUUCAUCGUCGUUCAGCGGCGUACGUGCGCGCGUUCGGAUGCCUCCGGCCUCGGCCGGCGGGCACCGCGCGCGCUCGUCGACGUCCGCGGACGGCGUGCACUUCCCUCUUAGUAACGCUAACAUCGCGACCCGUUCGAUGUCGGUCUAAGCGCCGUUCGGGAGCCCCGCCGUCCCCUCGCGGGUGCGACGGGACCGUUUACGGACGCCGACCGGCCGUCGGACGGUAUUGUACACGACACGCGCACGCGUUUCCAACGCGUCCGGCCCGACGCAAGUCAACGUCGUAUCCGACGUUCCGCCCGAGCGCGGACGUUGGUGCGGCGCGUCUGUCGUCGCAGCCGUGUAGUCUCGGACUGUGCGCGUCUCUGUCUGCGAUGAUUCAGUUUCGGGCACUCGCAGGACCCGUCUUGAAACACGGACCAAGGAGUCUAGCAUGUAUGCGAGCCAUUGAGUAUAUUACAUUAAACUGAAAGGCGUAACGAAAGUGAAGGCGUGCGCUUGUCGCGCGCUCAGGGAGGAUGGAGCUUCGAUCUAGGUCGUACUCUCGCACUCCCGAGGCGUCUCGUUUCCAAUCUGUGAAUGCAGGCGCGCUC